GCUUACGGCCAUACCACCCUGAACGCGCCCGAUCUCGUCCGAUCUCGGAAGCUUAGCAGGGUCGGGCCUGGUUAGUACUUGGAUGGGAGACCGCCUGGGAAUACCAGGUGCUGUAAGCC
rnacentral:rRNA from 15 species